rnacentral:misc_RNA from 1 species
AACGCACCUUGCGCUCCUUGGUAUUCCGAGGAGCAUGCCUGUUUGAGUGCCAUUAAAUUCUCAACCUUUGUUAACUUUUUAGUUAGCAAGUGGAUUGGAAGUGGGGGCAUGUUGGUUUCUUCAUUGAAAUGAACUCCCCUGAAAUGCAUUAGCUGGUUGCCUUGUGCAAACAUGUCUAUUGGUGUGAUAAUUGUCUACGCCGUGGGCUAUUUGCCGUUUAUAGCACUGCUUAUAAUCGUCUGUUCAUUCAGACAAUACAUGACAAUUUGACCUCAAAUCAGGUAGGACUACCCGCUGAACUUAA